AGAGUUUGAUCCUGGCUCAGGACGAACGCUGGCGGCGUGCCUAACACAUGCAAGUAGAACGCUGAAGAGAGGAGCUUGCUCUUCUUGGAUGAGUUGCGAACGGGUGAGUAACGCGUAGGUAACCUGCCUUGUAGCGGGGGAUAACUAUUGGAAACGAUAGCUAAUACCGCAUAACAAUGGAUGACACAUGUCAUUUAUUUGAAAGGGGCAAUUGCUCCACUACAAGAUGGACCUGCGUUGUAUUAGCUAGUAGGUGAGGUAACGGCUCACCUAGGCGACGAUACAUAGCCGACCUGAGAGGGUGAUCGGCCACACUGGGACUGAGACACGGCCCAGACUCCUACGGGAGGCAGCAGUAGGGAAUCUUCGGCAAUGGGGGCAACCCUGACCGAGCAACGCCGCGUGAGUGAAGAAGGUUUUCGGAUCGUAAAGCUCUGUUGUAAGUCAAGAACGAGUGUGAGAGUGGAAAGUUCACACUGUGACGGUAGCUUACC
rnacentral:rRNA from 1 species